rnacentral:rRNA from 1 species
GACGAACGCUGGCGGCGUGCUUAACACAUGCAAGUCGAACGGAAAGGCCCUGCUUUUGUGGGGUGCUCGAGUGGCGAACGGGUGAGUAACACGUGAGUAACCUGCCCUUGACUUUGGGAUAACUUCAGGAAACUGGGGCUAAUACCGGAUAGGAGCUCCUGCUGCAUGGUGGGGGUUGGAAAGUUUCGGCGGUUGGGGAUGGACUCGCGGCUUAUCAGCUUGUUGGUGGGGUAGUGGCUUACCAAGGCUUUGACGGGUAGCCGGCCUGAGAGGGUGACCGGCCACAUUGGGACUGAGAUACGGCGCAGACUCCUACGGGAGGCAGCAGGGGGGAAUAUUGCACAAUGGGCGGAAGCCUGAUGCAGCAACGCCGCGUGCGGGAUGACGGCCUUCGGGUUGUAAACCGCUGUCGCCUGCGACGAAGCGUGAGUGACGGUAAUGGGUAAAGAAGCACCGGCUAACUACGUG